rnacentral:lncRNA from 1 species
GUGAUUCUAUGAUUGACUCGUCCUUCAAUACUAUCUUGUAACAGUAACAGCUUUUCAGCCCUUGUUGAUUCCUGUAACAUUCAUGAGCACUGUUCUUUACCUGCUGAAAAUCCCAUAUCACACUGAACUUGCCCACAGUUGCAACAAGGUGGCGUUCUUGUUUACCAUUCUCUGUGACCUGAAAGACAAAAAGCAAAUGCUUAAUACUUGCUGCAGGUUGACUAACUCAGUAAAAGUAAACUAAAAAUAAUCACCAUCAGUUUAAAUUAACAUUCCAGAUGCAAGUAAUAGUAUGCAGCAUGGAAUAAACAAGGAAUUCUAUCUCGAGGUGCAUAAAAGGCUAUCCAUAUUUAUAACUCACUGAUCACUAUAAAUGUGUAUGAGCUACACAGAAUGUGAUAGUGUUCUUUCCACUGUGAACAAAUAACCAUUUCCCUGCAGUCGUGUCUUCUAUUAAAUCAUGCACGUAACGAUUGUUACAAAUGAUAUCAGCCCAACUUACAGAUAACAUUAUAAAAAUUUCACUUAUUUCAAAAACAAACAAAAAAAAAUCAAAAUUUCACUUGAUAAGUUGAUGGAGUGAAUCAUGAUAUCUUAAUUUCUUAACCUGCUAAAAGCUAUGUCUUGUACUCUACUAAUGGUGAUCCUAUACUUGCUUUUCAUCCUUCUACAAUUUUUUUUAAAAGCCCUCAUUACUUAUGCUACCAUUAUCAUUUAAUCUCACCCAUCAUUUUCAGAAUCGGCCAUUUAUACAUCUUGCUGCAUUAGAUGAGCUCCAUGAUAAUUUCACGAUCGCACUAUUAUAUGGAUCACACAUUACAUUAAUGUGUACGUAGCUUUUAAACAGAAAGCGUAUGACCCAAACAUAAGUAACAGAAAGUGUAUGACCCGCUAGGUUUACCCCCAUACUAUUGCUAAACCAGACAGCAGAAGUUCCAUCCUUGUCCCAAUAACACCCUAGUUUCCGCACAUGGUAAUAAGUCUAUAAUAGCAUGAGAAUUAAUUGCCCUUUACAAAAUAAAACCAAGAAUGGAAUUUUUAGUGGUAAACAUUGAUGGUACUUAAUGAAAUAUGCAAGCAGUGUUGUUAAAUAGCGGCUAUAGCAUAGCAAAAAUUCAACAAACCACUAUUGUCCUGUCAUCCUGUGAUAUGCUAUUUAAUAUAAAAACAUUAUUAAAUAGCGGUUAUAGCGCAGGUAUAGAACUGUUGCAUAGCGGAAUUUGAACAAACUACUAUUUCGCACUAUCCACAAUUGACAUCACUGUGUGCAGGUAUGAACGAAUAGUUCUUUCAUUAAAGAAGGAAAUAAGGAAUAUAUAAAAAAUAAAAAAAAAAUUAAAAAACUAACUAUAUUCAAAGUAGUUAAUCAAAGAUAGUUAAAUGCGCAUGUUAGUAAGUAAACACACUUCCAUACUUAUUUUUUCAACAGUAAAAGGAGUGACUCAGGUUCUUUACUGUUAACUACGGUAGGAUCUAACAAAAACAUCAGAAUGUGUGUGUGUGUGUGUGUUGGAGAGAAAGUAAGUGUCAAAUAGUGUUUUGCUCCCAUUCAUAUUCAUAUUUAUAUGUAAUAAAAAGUAAGAUGAUGAUGCUACAUGUCAAUGCAAAAUAGAAGGCAAUGACACAAAUAAUAGAGAAUAAUGAUUGAUUACCCAUGAGAAAUGGCCACCAUGAAACUUGUUGGUAGUUCCAGCCAAAUGUGAAUCCAGAGGAGUGAGCUUCAACAAUCUAGGAGCACCUAUCCUGUUUCCCAUACGACCACCAAAACCAGUCUUUGUCUUCCCAUCUUUAUCAGUGAACAAUGUACAAAUCAAGACCAAAUAAGUAUCAGUUGUACCCAACACCCACUUUCCAUCAAAAGUAACAUCAACGCUUGUAAUAGGUGAACCAAGCCCUGGAAAAGCCGUCUUCGCCAUCCUCAUCGAUUUAUUCGAAUACAACCUUAUCUUCCCAUCAAGAGACCCCACCACAAUUGAACCAUCUCCUGUAGUUGCAAAGCAUUGAAAAUUUGUCCCUCUUGAAAAUUGAUGC